GCGAUGGGCGCGCAGGGCGGUGGCGGGAGGUGCCGGCGUGCUUUUAGUGAGCUCUCAGCGAAUGUGUCUCCUCGCUCCUUACGCAGCACAGUCACCUCCCUGCCCCGGGUCUGUCCCAGCGGCGAGGUGUCUCUUGAGAUGUGUUAAUACUCUGACAAUAUUUGUUUGCUGGUCACCUGUAAGGAUCAGCUCUUGCCUUCUGCCCGGCUCAGGGCACGCGAAGUUGCGCCAGUGCACCUGAAGGGCUGAGCAGAGCUGGUGGGGGAUGUUCCCUGUACCAGCAUUGCUGCUGGAACCUCUUUAUUGUGAUCGUGCCACGACAUCGCUAAUGGAAAUCAAGUCUUUUUCCGGUGGCACAGAGAGAUUUUGUGCAUGACUUAAUCUGAAUCGGUAUUUUUGCUGCCUACUCCUCGUACGUUUGAUUUGGAUAAUUGACUGUGGUGACUCACAUGCAGGAGCAGAUUCAAAGGAAUCCGUGCUCAUUUACUUUAAUAUGUUUGUCAGUAACCUGCAGUGUUCAGGGUCUAAUUCAUGAUGUAUCCCUGCAGUAGAGUCAAUACGGUCUGUAAGAGUAGAAAGAUGAAAAUUUUGAUCUCGUUAAUCAGCCCAGCUGAAUCUUCCAGCACACAGGAAUCAGUGCCCCAGUACAGGGCUCUGAGUGUGAGAUGAAGGGAAGCUGACACUCGUGGUUUUCCCAUCUCUUCCUCUUGUAGUUCAGCUUAAUGCCUCUUCUAUUUCCAGCUCAUUUAAUACUUCAGCCUCUGCUUCUUACGCAUAUUACCCAAAAGUUUGGGACCCUUAACCAUAGCAGUGGAUGCUGUAUAAGAAGGAAGUAAACACAUACUAAUGGUGUACUUUUCCAUGUGACUAAAGGAAAAGCUAUCAUGCCUCCAGGACCAAAGAAUAACAUCCUACUUUUAGAGUGGGAAAUGCAUCAUGAAGUGAUGAAGUAGUGACUCUAAACAGGAUUUGAGGAAUUGGCUUCUUCAUCACCAGAAGUUCCAGUUAGUUCUUGUGGCGGUGACUGGGAGAGCCUCAAAAAGAGGAUUAUGAGGUGGGAGGGGAACAGGGGAACAGUUUUCAGCAGCAGUGAUUUGAGAGACACUGCUGAUGGCCUUCUUCCUCCCCGCUGGAAGAAGCAGGAUGAAAGGUGUAAGGACUUGUGCCACUCUGCAUAAUAAAGAGAGAUCUCCUGAAGUCUAGUGACUGGUUUUUCCCUCUGCUGCCCAAGAUGGACCUGCUGUAAUGGAGAAAUGCUGCUUAAUUGGUUUUGCAACAUUCCUGCAUUCCAUGUUGUCAGGACAUGAUGCUGUCCUGUGUUCUAGGAGGAUGAUGGCUCAGCAGACAAUCCUGUUGUCACAAAUGCAUAAGUAGUUCAGCAAGAAAUGUAACAAAGGUUCUCUGAUAUCACAGAAACAAUAAGCAGCAGGGACAAUAGAAGAUCUUGGGAAGAAAUGUCUUCAGUUGUUGAGGCAGACAUCACCUGGGGGAUUAAAGAAAGUUAUAAAUAGAGAAAUGCCUUUUAAAUAGAUUUUCUGUGAUGCUGCUGAAGGUCUUUGAAGAAUGAAGAUCAUUGACUGAUGUGUUUUAUUAAUGCUCCUUGGUGUUUCAGAGAAACAUCUGUCUUAUGAUUUGACCAAAAAUUCAUAUAAAUUUUGAUUGCUUGAUAUGAAAGAGAGUUUUAUCAGCACAAAUGGUGAUACUUAGUCUAUUCCCAGCACAGUAGCCUCAUUCUUCUGAUACUUGGUACCUGCAUUUUCUGUUGGGCAAAGUGCUGCAUUUCAGUUGCUAACAGGUUUAGCUGAAGAAAGCCCCACCUUUAAUUUUCUGUUGUACUCCUUCACUGAAGUUUACUGUCUCAGUUUUAGGUCUGGCUCAGUGUGCUAUGCCUCAUGUACCCAGAUUUAUAACCCAAAGAGAGAAAUGUGUGUAUUGUUCCAUUUGUCUCUGCUGUUGGACAGUAACUUCUGGCAGUGGUGAACAUGUAACCACCUGAGCGAGCACAGCAACAUCUGCAAGUGGUCUGUCAGCUGAAGCCCUUUGUUACUCAGUCUCUUCCUCAGCAUGUACUAAUGAAAAGAAGCAAUCCACGAGCAGUGGGACUACUCAGUCUUGAUCCAGGUUUUUUAAUCUUUUUGUUGACUUUGAGAUCAAAUCAGUGCUGUGUUAUCUUUCCAACCUUGUAGACAGAUUCCCGCCUUUCUGUAACUGCUGUAUUUUGGGAGACAAAGAAAAUGUCUAAUGCCAGGACAAAGCUGAAAGAACUGGGGAAAAUGUAGUGAAAGCUUGUUUCUUUUAAGAAAGUGAUACAACUUUGUGUACAGAGAACAGAUUUCUUUGCAAUCCUACACAGAGGAAAAUCCCCUUUUGUUUCCAGUCACUAUCCAUAGUUUGUCAAUUUCACCACUUAAAUUAUACAAAUUGUGUGGAAUAUUUUGUUUGGGACAUUCUGUCUAGCAAUGUAAGGAAAAAAAAUUACAUUUAGAUAUAUUUGAUGGAGCAUUGUUUUUUAUUUUCUCUAAAGGAUAUUUGAGUUCUCAAUCAAAACAAAAAGUUAUAAAACACCUUUUUCUUAAUUUCCUGUGAAAGUGUAUUUAAGGAAAUUAUUGAGUAGGCAGGUUGAAAACUGCUAAGUCACAGUGGCCUAAUACAGUUAGUAAUAUGAGCAUCUUUAUUUGGACUGUAACUUGUUUGUCCUGAUCUACUUGAUUAGUGGCAAAUUUCUCUUACCCAGAGGAACUCCCUUGGAUGUCACUUUCAGUCUCUGAACAAGUCACCUUUUGAGUAUUGUGCCCCCUUCCUAUGGGGAUUCUGGCUAUGAAAUAAGUUGUUUCCUUUGUUUAACCACUGAAGUAAAAGUAAAGCUGAAAAGAAAUGCUUUGGAAACCACGGUUACAUGGUAUUUUGUGCCCUAGAGGAUCAGCGGUUGCAACAUGUUUAACUGCUCUCCUGGAAGUCUGUGAAGAUCCUGCUCCAGAGCUGCAGUGCUGGGAUGUUGCCAUGUGCCUGCUCACAUAUAUUUGAAGGAAAAACAAAUGCAGUUGUCCUGGGCACCAUCUGAGUGAUUAUGUACCUAGGCCAGUGUUAAAAUCUGGAGUUGAGUUAAAAUUUAAUUACUAAACCACUGGAGAUCAUUUGAAUACUCUCUCCUAAUUUUAUGGGAGCAGUUUUAGCUAGACCUUCUUCUGUACUAAUGAGUUGUCCCUACAAAAGGUCUGUAGCUAAAUUUCUCUGUGGGUCAAUAAGAUUUUACUGGCCAGUGGAGUGCUGAGUAGUUCUUGUAAUCACAAGUACAAGCACAAUUUGCUCAAUAUGAAGUACCUUCCAAAAACCCCCAACUUUAUAUCCCUAAAUUUUAUGUUACUAAAUGUGUAUGAAAAUUGUGAUCCAGUACAACUCAGGGAAGUACUGAAAAUGCUAUAGUACAUUUAUUUUCUGCUGUUAUGUUUUAAAAUUUUAUUUCAGCUUCAAUAAAAUGUGUUGUGUAUUUCA